AUAGAAUGCCCACCCCAACUCACGCCCUGACCAACCUAAAACAGAGACAUACAAAAGGAACUAAGGUCAGAACGUGACAGGACAUGUAAUUGUACUGUAGUGUAUGUGUGGGGUACAGACAUGUGGCAGUCAUUCAAACAUCUAUUAAAAUGUAUUAUUAUUAUUAUUAUUGCACACGGAGUGAGUCCAUGCAACUUAUUAUGUGACUUGUUCAGAAUUUUUUACUCCUGAACUUAGUUAUGCUCACCAUAACAAAGGCAUUGAAUACUUACACUAAAGACAUUUCCGCUUUUCAUUUUUUGUAACCAUUUUGAAAAACAUAAUUCCACUUUGACAUGAUGGGGUAUUGUGUGUAAGCCUGUGAUACAAUAAUCUAAAUGGAAUCAAUGUUUAAUUCAAGCUGUAACGCAACAAAAUGUGUACAAAGUCAAGGGGUGUGAAUACUUUCUGAAGGCAUUGUAUAUGACCCUGAAUCAGAGGUUAUGAUUUCAUAGAGGCUGCUUUGAAACUUUGCUCUGUGAGAGCUUAGAAAUGGUUGUGUUCAAUAGGGUCAUGUAACUGCAUAUUUCUGUCUGUCUAUGAUGUUUAUGAAUCAUUGUCAUCAUUUCAGUGGAGUAUUGCCUGGAGCCCAAACCCGGCCAACUGAAUAUUAUCCUUGUUGUCGUCCAGCUACGACUCGGUGAAACAUAAGAUAUUACAGUUUUUAAUGUACCGUUGGUAGGAUAGUCUCGAAUGGAGCUCAUCCAGAUUAUUCUCCAGUGAUUGCAUGUUGGCCAAAAGAAUGGAUAGUAGAGGCAGGUUACUCACUCGCUGACGAAUUCUCACAAGGCACCCUGAUCUCCACCCUCUGUACCGCUGUCUUUUCUUCACGCGAAUGACGGGAAUUUGGGCCUGGUCUCGGAGAAACAGUAUAUCCUUUGCAGAAGACUCAUUACAGUAAAAAUAUUUGUCUAGUUCGAGGUGAGUAAUCACUCUUCUGAUAUCCAGAAGCUCUUUUUGUUCAUAAGAGACCAAUGUACAAAAUAAGUUACAAACAAUGCAAAAAAACACAAAGUAGCACAGUUGGUUAGGAGCCCAUAAAACCGCAGCCCACCCCUCUGGCGCCAAUAACAGUAUAUGUUAUCUUAACUGUGGCCAUGAUGGUUUGAUUGUGUGUUCACAAUGGGGAACUUUUCUGAAGAGAAGGAGGGUGUUUGGUUGGAGCGUAAUUUAAGAGGAAGACUUUUCCAUCCAUUACACCUGUAAGGUUUCCAGUGACAGAGGCAGUCCUUCUGCCUCCUUCACACUACAGCCUACAGAUCCAAACUAUCUGUUCCCUAUUGGGGUACUACUGAUCACUCUGGUAUUGGUGUUUACUGUUAGUGUUGUGAUUUACCAUUGCUUCAAGAUCGACAUCAUGCUGUCUCUCUGGAGGAUGUUCCCGCUUCUCCACAUAAACACAGACUGAUGGGAAGCUGUAUGAUGCGUACAUGGCGUACCCCCGUGUGCAGAAAGACGAGGUGCCCAGAGAAGAACAGCCUGUUGAACUUGUGAUGGGAUUGAUGGGCUUUGGAGAGGACAGUGAUAGACACAAGGAGGAAAUAUGUUGAAUGAAAGGACUUCUGAUACCAUGGAGAGUAUAAAUGUUGUAUCUGCCUCUCACAACACAUUUUCAUGAACAUUUAUUGAAUCAGACUUUGGAAGAUUGGUCCUCUGGGGUGAGAUGUAUUUUUGGCGGGAUGAUGAUUGAUCGUCCUGCCGAUGGAAAAUGUUAAGAGUGUAUUAAUUCUGACCAUAUUGGCAGAGCAACUCAAAUACACACACAUGCACGCACAGACACACAAACCACACACACCAUUUAUCACCAUGUUGUACAUACACACCACAUCUGUGAGAGAGCUUUAAUAAAGAGAGCCCAGUACAUUUUAUACAAUGUA